CCCCGUGUAGGCAGGAGGUGCGGCUCCCACAGCGACAGGUCACAGCACCAUGAAAGAGGACCUAGAGACCCUGCUGGCCUUGGAACGGGCCAACAUCAUAGCCAAUUACACUCAGGCACGCCCAGCAGGGUCUCCACGGGACCCAUGGGAAGAUGCUGAGCUCUCGCUGUGCAGGCUCACGGACCAUCAUGGCUUUCUGCAGUGAGGAGGAGAUGCCCGGCCCCAGCCCCCACGAGGCAAAGCAACUUCGCCAGGAGACCUGGAGAGCCGACAAGUGGGUGAAGAUGCUGAGGAACU